rnacentral:rRNA from 1 species
CAGCAGCCGCGGUAAUACGAAGGGUGCAAGCGUUACUCGGAAUUACUGGGCGUAAAGCGUGCGUAGGUGGUUGUUUAAGUCUGUUGUGAAAGCCCUGGGCUCAACCUGGGAAUUGCAGUGGAUACUGGGCGACUAGAGUGUGAUAGAGGGUAGUGGAAUUCCCGGUGUAGCAGUGAAAUGCGUAGAGAUCGGGAGGAACAUCCAUGGCGAAGGCAGCUACCUGGACCAACACUGACACUGAGGCACGAAAGCGUGGGGAGCAAACAGGAUUAGAUACCCCCGUAGUCCCUGUCUCUUAUAC